GGCGACGCCGCUCGGUCCCUUCUUGGUGUGCUAAAUACUUUGGGACUAAAUGUUAACCCCAGGCUAGCAGUUACUGCAAGAAAUGGGAUUCCUAGGGUCUGAAAGUUUGUUUUUGGUUGCCUCCUCCAGCUCCUCCCAUGGCCUCAUUUGUCUCUACUUUCUUUGAAAGCACACAGAUUGGAAUUAGAAUUAUAUUCUCCGUGGCUCACCGUGCCCCCAUCACCCGGAGGAGCUCUUAACUUGGCAACAAAGCGGCUGCAGGCUGUAGGAAGUCUGAUGCCUGCUCUGCGCAGCCUGGUGCCCUCCUUUUGUUAGAACAGGAGGGGUUUGGUGUAAAUGGCAGUGACAGCCCCCCCACCCCCAGCUGGCUGGUGGAGAAGAAAGCAGAGAGUCAGAUGGAUCAACCUGAGCCCAGAGGAGCUCCAGCUAACCUGGACAGGUCCCCCGCACCCC
rnacentral:lncRNA from 1 species